rnacentral:lncRNA from 1 species
UUUAAUUUCCCUAGGCAAGACACUAUUAACUCAGCAUUACAGUCAGAAUCUUAUUUGGCCCCAACCUGAGAAAGGCAUGAGUACAGUAUUACUCCAUACUUAAUGUUUUUUUUCUUUGGAAAAAAAAAAUUAUUCCUGGUCUCUGACUCUGUUUCAACAGAUGUGAAGCAAAAACUGUGAGUAUAUUUAAGAAAUAUCUUGAUUUUAACGUUGGACCAGAAGAUGAAGUAACCAAGAGAUGCAUAAGUACAUUUCAAACAGCAUUGCAUGUUAGCAGAGCUCUUAUUGGAAUACUAAUGAGGCAUAAUGACUUUUUAGAAAUUUGUUUACUCCUGCUUAGAAAACAAAAUAUUUGGGGGGGAAAAAAAAACAUUAUAGCUGCCCAUUGAUUUCAUUAGAUUUACUAAGAUCAGUUUUCUUAUGAAAAACUAAUUGAUUAUACAGAGUGCUCAUCCAUAUUAAAUCAGGAUCUAAGAUAUUUAUGAUACUUCCUUCAAACAAAUGCCACCUAUAUAUGUAAGGCUAGCUUUGUUCCUUGUAUGCUAAGAAAUUAAUUUGGUCAUUUUGUGUUAAUGGGUCACCUAUAAAUAUCUGCUGCAGCCUUCACAUCAUUUUUUAAUCUAAUCAUAGAAUCAUGGAAUAAUAUAGGAUGGGAGAGACCUUGAAGAUCACCUGGUUCCAAUCUCUCUGCCACGGGCAGGGAUCUGCUAUAUAAGGCAGUCCUCAGGGCUUUGGACAAUCUCUAUUGAGAAGAUCUUAAUUUGUCUCAACUUCCAGGUCUUGGGAAGCUCACAAGUAUGUGCAUCAAAUCUACCUCCUAAGCAGACAGAGGUAAUUUAUUUUGCAUCACUGUAUUAUAAUAUUGAGGACAGAUGCUUUGGCCCCUUGCCUCAACUCUGCAGACAGUUCACCUUAUUUAUAUGA